rnacentral:rRNA from 1 species
CACGUAGGGUGCGAGCGUUGUCCGGAAUUAUUGGGCGUAAAGAGCUCGUAGGCGGUGUGUCGCGUCGGCCCGUGAAAACCUGCAGCUUAACUGUGGGCUUGCGGUCGAUACGGGCAUCACUGGAGUUCGGCAGGGGAGACUGGAAUUCCUGGUGUAGCGGUGAAAAUGCGCAGAUAUCAGGAAGAACACCCCGUGGCGAAGGCGGCUCUCUGGGACGGUACUGACGCUGAGACGCGAAAGCGUGGGGAGCGAACAGG